rnacentral:rRNA from 1 species
AACGAACGCUGGCGGCAUGCCUAACACAUGCAAGUCGAACGAAGGCUUCGGCCUUAGUGGCGCACGGGUGCGUAACGCGUGGGAAUCUGCCCUUGGGUUCGGAAUAACUCAGAGAAAUUUGAGCUAAUACCGGAUGAUGACGUAAGUCCAAAGAUUUAUCGCCCAGGGAUGAGCCCGCGUAAGAUUAGCUAGUUGGUGGGGUAAAGGCCUACCAAGGCGACGAUCUUUAGCUGGUCUGAGAGGAUGAUCAGCCACACUGGGACUGAGACACGGCCCAGACUCCUACGGGAGGCAGCAGUGGGGGAAUAUUGGACAAUAGGGCGGGAAGGACCUGAUCCAGCAAUAGCCGCCGUGAGUGAUGAAGGACC